GCCCAGACUCCUACGGGAGGCAGCAGUGGGGAAUAUUGCACAAUGGGGGAAACCCUGAUGCAGCGACGCCGCGUGAGUGAAGAAGUAUUUCGGUAUGUAAAGCUCUAUCAGCAGGGAAGAUAAUGACGGUACCUGACUAAGAAGCCCCGGCUAACUACGUGCCAGCAGCCGCGGUAAUACGUAGGGGGCAAGCGUUAUCCGGAUUUACUGGGUGUAAAGGGAGCGUAGGUGGCAGGGCAAGUCAGAUGUGAAAACCCGGGGCUCAACCCCGGGAGUGCAUUUGAAACUGUCCAGCUGGAGUGCAGGAGAGGUAAGCGGAAUUCCUAGUGUAGCGGUGAAAUGCGUAGAUAUUAGGAGGAACACCAGUGGCGAAGGCGGCUUACUGGACUGUAACUGACGUUGAGGCUCGAAAGCGUGGGGAGCAAACAGGAUUAGAUACCCUAGUAUG
rnacentral:rRNA from 1 species